rnacentral:snoRNA from 1 species
ACGUUCUUGUGUUAUUUAUUGACGUUAACCUUCCUGUAGUCAAUAAUUGUCAAACAGAACGGAUAUUAAAUAGCAACACAAAUCGUUAGUGUUUCUUCUUUUUUUUCGGAAAAAAAAAUUCGAAUUUGUUGCUGACACUA